GGCUAGCGUUGCUCGGAAUCACUGGGCGUAAAGCGCACGUAGGCGGAUUGCUAAGUCAGGGGUGAAAUCCUGGAGCUCAACUCCAGAACUGCCCUUGAUACUGGCGGUCUCGAGUCCGGGAGAGGUGAGUGGAACUGCGAGUGUAGAGGUGAAAUUCGUAGAUAUUCGCAAGAACACCAGUGGCGAAGGCGGCUCACUGGCCCGGUACUGACGCUGAGGUGCGAAAGCGUGGGGAGCAAACAGG
rnacentral:rRNA from 1 species